rnacentral:misc_RNA from 1 species
UGAUUAUGCUAUUGUUAAGGU